rnacentral:rRNA from 1 species
ACUUAAAUUGAAGAGUUUGAUCAUGGCUCAGAUUGAACGCUGGCGGCAGGCCUAACACAUGCAAGUCGAGCGGUAGCACAGAGAGCUUGCUCUCGGGUGACGAGCGGCGGACGGGUGAGUAAUGUCUGGGAAACUGCCUGAUGGAGGGGAUAACUACUGGAAACGGUAGCUAAUACCGCAUAACGUCGCAAGACCAAAG